GUGUUCAUCAGAGCCGCAGCCCCCAGCACCCUCCACGGGGUGAUGCUUCAGACAAAGGUCUCAGACGCGACUCAGAAUGCACGCGUCUUGGUUUCCACUACCUUUCCAGACUCCAUCAAUGGCAGGGACACCCCAACCACGCUGCGGUCCCAAGUGCCGCCACCCGCAUGCACUCGCCACCCACCCCAUGUGCUCACAGCAGCUCACUCUACAUUUCGUUUAGGUCCUCCCUGAACCCAGCAAGCCCCUGGCACCCAGUAAGCUAAACCUAGUGUUUACAUCAAGCUACAGUGUGGCCAUACUUGAGAAUCCAGGACUGGGAUCUGAGCUUCAAAGCUGGGAGGGGCCCUGAUACACAUCUGACCACAGACCAGCAAGCACACACUGUAUGCACCACCAUCGUUCAUCAAGAUGAAACUAAGUCAGAUCCUAUGACAGCAUCAGGUAAGAAACGUUCUUGCCAGUAGAUGGAUAACUUGUCUUCUAUCUGUCCCUAUCCCUCUAAAAACCAAAUGUCACAUGGGUCAUCGGGUAAGAAACGUUCUUGCCAGUAGAUGGGUUACUUGUCUUCUCUCUGUCCCUGUCCCUCUAAAGAACCAAAUGUCACAGGGGCCACUCUUAUUCUUCCUGGUUGUGUGACAGAUAAAGGGAUGUUAACUGCAGCCCUGGGGACACGGGCGCACAGAGAUAGACACUGAGCUCCCCUGGGAGGCACGCCCGGAGUGGGGCACACAGCUCUCCUCUUCCUCUUGGUGCAGAUGGCCCAAUGUAGCCAGCUGUCCUCUCAUGUGCCCAUCCAGGUGUCCCGGUAGGCCUGACUUGGCCCCGCCGUCCUCUAAUGCCUGGGUCCCGGGGGUGCAUAGUCAGUGCAGACCUGGUUUGCAUCACUUUGCCACUGGGUAUCCAUGGGGCCCAGGCAGGCUGGGAGCAUUACCUGUCAUGGCGCAGUGCCCGCAUGUCCACGUAGACGGUUGUGGGGUCCGGGCCAGCUGUGCCCUGGAAGGAGAGCAGCAGAGGAACUUCUGUUCAGGGGCCUCACUUAACAUCUUGUUUCUACAGGUACAGCUGCAUGGCAGCUCCUCCCUGGCCCCCGGGGACACCCAAGAAGGUAGCAGCUCUGCUCCCUGCAGUGAGUCCGCCUAGGGGUUCAAGGUCCCCCAGGCAGUCUGAUGCUUUCCAUCCAAACAUCCACAGAGCUUGAUAAUAUUGAGCGAAACACUCAAUGACUCUGAAAACACCAAAUCAUGCCACUUUACAUUUCAGUUCUAACAACUUUCUAUUCCCACUGGUCUCUUGCUGUGAUGAAAACACCAUUAGGAUUUGAGGGGCAUUUCCACCAUGCUGUCAGGCAGGGCCUUGCCUCUCACCAACCAGCCUAAUUCUACCGGGGACUGCUCGCAGCCGAGACUCACUCAGGUGAGAUGGAUGGCAGCCUUCACCUUUCUACUCUCUUCCUUUCUGAAUCUUACAGUUAACAUUAAUCCCGACUAAAGGACAUUAUGUGUCAUUUUAUUCAAUAAGGAACAUCAAUUAAAUGAGUACUCUGAUCAACAUCACCCUUAAAGAUCCCAGACAACAUAACCUGUGUCUGCACUGGAAUUAAACACCUCUGCACUGGAACUAAACACAGCCCUUCCUCCCAAGGCAAUGCUAUGAGCAUUAACAUUUUUUGAAAAUAGUUUUACUUUUAAAUUUGGUUACAAGGGAGCUUUUGUAAUAUGUCAAGUAAUAUCCACUGUGAACAAAGUAAGACAGCAAAAGAAACAUGUUUGUCUAGAAU
rnacentral:lncRNA from 1 species